UACGUAGGGUGCGAGCGUUGUCCGGAAUUAUUGGGCGUAAAGAGCUCGUAGGCGGUCUGUCGCGUCGGUCGUGAAAACUUGGGGCUUAACCCUGAGCUUGCGGUCGAUACGGGCAUGACUGGAGUUCGGCAGGGGAGACUGGAAUUCCUGGUGUAGCGGUGAAAUGCGCAGAUAUCAGGAGGAACACCGGUGGCGAAGGCGGGUCUCUAGGCCGAUACUGACGCUGAGGAGCGAAAGCGUGGGGAGCGAACAGG
rnacentral:rRNA from 1 species